CUCCUGACUGACCGAUAGUGAACCAGUACCGUGAGGGAAAGGCGAAAAGAACCCCGGCGAGGGGAGUGAAAAAGAACCUGAAACCGUGUACGUACAAGCAGUGGGAGCACGCUUAGGCGUGUGACUGCGUACCUUUUGUAUAAUGGGUCAGCGACUUAUAUUCUGUAGCAAGGUUAACCGAAUAGGGGAGCCGAAGGGAAACCGAGUCUUAACUGGGCGUUAAGUUGCAGGGUAUAGACCCGAAACCCGGUGAUCUAGCCAUGGGCAGGUUGAAGGUUGGGUAACACUAACUGGAGGACCGAACCGACUAAUGUUGAAAAAUUAGCGGAUGACUUGUGGCUGGGGGUGAAAGGCCAAUCAAACCGGGAGAUAGCUGGUUCUCCCCGAAAGCUAUUUAGGUAGCGCCUCGUGAAUUCAUCUCCGGGGGUAGAGCACUGUUUCGGCAAGGGGGUCAUCCCGACUUACCAACCCGAUGCAAACUGCGAAUACCGGAGAAUGUUAUCACGGGAGACACACGGCGGGUGCUAACGUCCGUCGUGAAGAGGGAAACAACCCAGACCGCCAGCUAAGGUCCCAAAGUCAUGGUUAAGUGGGAAACGAUGUGGGAAGGCCCAGACAGCCAGGAUGUUGGCUUAGAAGCAGCCAUCAUUUAAAGAAAGCGUAAUAGCUCACUGGUCGAGUCGGCCUGCGCGGAAGAUGUAACGGGGCUAAACCAUGCACCGAAGCUGCGGCAGCGACGCUGAUGCGUUGUUGGGUAGGGGAGCGUUCUGUAAGCCUGUGAAGGUGUGCUGUGAGGCAUGCUGGAGGUAUCAGAAGUGCGAAUGCUGACAUAAGUAACGAUAAAGCGGGUGAAAAGCCCGCUCGCCGGAAGACCAAGGGUUCCUGUCCAACGUUAAUCGGGGCAGGGUGAGUCGACCCCUAAGGCGAGGCCGAAAGGCGUAGUCGAUGGGAAACAGGUUAAUAUUCCUGUACUUGGUGUUACUGCGAAGGGGGGACGGAGAAGGCUAUGUUGGCCGGGCGACGGUUGUCCCGGUUUAAGCGUGUAGGCUGGUUUUCCAGGCAAAUCCGGAAAAUCAAGGCUGAGGCGUGAUGACGAGGCACUACGGUGCUGAAGCAACAAAUGCCCUGCUUCCAGGAAAAGCCUCUAAGCAUCAGGUAACAUCAAAUCGUACCCCAAACCGACACAGGUGGUCAGGUAGAGAAUACCAAGGCGCUUGAGAGAACUCGGGUGAAGGAACUAGGCAAAAUGGUGCCGUAACUUCGGGAGAAGGCACGCUGAUAUGUAGGUGAAGCGACUUGCUCGUGGAGCUGAAAUCAGUCGAAGAUACCAGCUGGCUGCAACUGUUUAUUAAAAACACAGCACUGUGCAAACACGAAAGUGGACGUAUACGGUGUGACGCCUGCCCGGUGCCGGAAGGUUAAUUGAUGGGGUCAGCGCAAGCGAAGCUCUUGAUCGAAGCCCCGGUAAACGGCGGCCGUAACUAUAACGGUCCUAAGGUAGCGAAAUUCCUUGUCGGGUAAGUUCCGACCUGCACGAAUGGCGUAAUGAUGGCCAGGCUGUCUCCACCCGAGACUCAGUGAAAUUGAACUCGCUGUGAAGAUGCAGUGUACCCGCGGCAAGACGGAAAGACCCCGUGAACCUUUACUAUAGCUUGACACUGAACAUUGAGCCUUGAUGUGUAGGAUAGGUGGGAGGCUUUGAAGUGUGGACGCCAGUCUGCAUGGAGCCGGCCUUGAAAUACCACCCUUUAAUGUUUGAUGUUCUAACGUUGACCCGUGAUCCGGGUUGCGGACAGUGUCUGGUGGGUAGUUUGACUGGGGCGGUCUCCUCCUAAAGAGUAACGGAGGAGCACGAAGGUUGGCUAAUCCUGGUCGGACAUCAGGAGGUUAGUGCAAUGGCAUAAGCCAGCUUGACUGCGAGCGUGACGGCGCGAGCAGGUGCGAAAGCAGGUCAUAGUGAUCCGGUGGUUCUGAAUGGAAGGGCCAUCGCUCAACGGAUAAAAGGUACUCCGGGGAUAACAGGCUGAUACCGCCCAAGAGUUCAUAUCGACGGCGGUGUUUGGCACCUCGAUGUCGGCUCAUCACAUCCUGGGGCUGAAGUAGGUCCCAAGGGUAUGGCUGUUCGCCAUUUAAAGUGGUACGCGAGCUGGGUUUAGAACGUCGUGAGACAGUUCGGUCCCUAUCUGCCGUGGGCGCUGGAGAACUGAGGGGGGCUGCUCCUAGUACGAGAGGACCGGAGUGGACGCAUCACUGGUGUUCGGGUUGUCAUGCCAAUGGCACUGCCCGGUAGCUAAAUGCGGAAGAGAUAAGUGCUGAAAGCAUCUAAGCACGAAACUUGCCCCGAGAUGAGUUCUCCCUGACUCCUUGAGAGUCCUGAAGGAACGUUGAAGACGACGACGUUGAUAGGCCGGGUGUGUAAGCGCAGCGAUGCGUUGAGCUAACCGGUACUAAUGAACCGUGAG
rnacentral:rRNA from 1 species